ensembl:lncRNA
GCAGCAACUUCAGCCCCAGGUUGGGAUUUUUGACCCCCAAAUCGGGGCUCUCUGCCCCCCAAGUGUGGGUCUCUGCCCCAUAGCAGCGAACUCGGCCCCAAAGUUGGGAUUUCUGGCCCCAAAUCGGGGCAUUUCUCACCCCAAAUCGGGGCCCCCUGCCCCCCAAGUGGGGGUCUCUGCCCCACAGCAGUCAGCUCAGCCCCCAAAAUGGGCAUUUCUCACCCCAAAGUUGGCACUUUUCUGCCCCAAAAAUGGACAAUUCUGACCCCAAAAUGGGGAUUCCUCCCCCCCCCCCCCCCCCCCCCCCCCCCCCCCCCUGGACAUUCCUGACCCCAAAGUUGGCACUUCCGCCCCCAAAACGGGCAUUUCCGGUCCCCAAAAGGGGUAUUUUUGCCCCCAAAAAUGGGCAUUUCCGGUCCCAAAGUUGGCACUUCCGCCCUCAAAACGGGCAUUUUGCCCCCCAAAAACAGGCAUUUCCGGUCCCAAAGCCGCCACUUCCGCCCUCAAAGCCGCCACUUCCGGUCCCAAAGCCGCCACUUCCGCCCUCAAACGCUGCCUUCCCCCCCCUCACCUCCACGGUCUCCUCGUCGGACAGCGGAGCGGCACCCCUCCCCCCCCCCCGACUUUGGGGGCGGCGGCGGCCGCCGUGGGGCGGAGGGGGGCGGCGGCGGCGGUGGGGCGGCGCGGGGCGAGGCGGGGGAUGCGGGACGGGGGGCGCCGGGGGGCGGGGAACCACGCGGGGCGCUUCACGGCUCCUCCGCCCCACUGCCGGAUCGGGCCGCCCCACAAGUGGGGGAUUCCGCCCCAUAAGUGAGGGAAUCCGCCCCAUAAGUGGGGGAUUUUGCCCCAUAAGUGGAGGAUUCUGCCCCGUAGGGGGGCGAUUUUGCCCCAUAAGUGGGGGAAUCUGCCCCAUAAGUGGGGGUAUCUGCCCCAUAGAGGGCCCAGCCUGCCCCAUAAGUGGAGGACUCCGCCCCAUAGAGGGUCCAGGCUGCCCCAUAGGGGGGCGAUCCUGCCCCAUAAGUGCUGGAAGCCGCCCCAUAGAGGGCCCAGCCUGCCCCAUAGCGCCGUGCCCCACAGCGGGAGGACCCCGCCCCAGAAGUGGAAAACCCUGCCCCACAGCGGGGUAAUCCUGCCCCACAGCGGCGGGAUGCUGCCCCAUAAGUGGAGGAAUCCGCCCCACAGCGGCUUCACCCCGCCCCACAGCAGCGCCCGCAGCUGCGCCAAGACGCCCGGCGGCGGCCGAGGAGAACCGGGGGGGGCGGCGGGGACGGGGAGGCGGGAACGGAGCCGAAGCGGCGGGGAGGAAGAGGAGGAGGAGAAGCGCGGCGCGGCGCGGGCCGGGCCGUGUUUGGCCCGGGGGAAAAGGAGGAAAAGGCGGCGCUCCGACGCGAAGCCCAGCGCGGAAAAAGCGGCGAAGACGCGCGGCGGGAGGCGGAGGAGGAACCGGAGCCAUAGGCGCCGCGCUCCGCCCCACGCUUCCGGCUUCUUCGCCCACGCUUCCGGUCCCAUCGAGUGCGCUUCCGGCUCGCCGCCGGGCCACGCUUCCGGCGUUUCGCGUAGCGCUUCCGGUACGCCGCCGCGACGCGGUUUUGGUGGUCUGUACGGCACUUCCGGCGCGGCGCUGCGCCGCGUUUCCGGCGUUCUGUACGGCGCUUCCGGUGCGACGCUGAGCCACGCUUCAUGUGUUCUGUACGGCACUUCCGGCGCGCUGCCUGGCCACGCUUCCGGCGUUCUGUACGGCACUUCCGGUGCAGCGCUGCGCCGCAUUUCCGGCGCUCUGUACGGCACUUCCGGCCCGCCGCUGGGCCACGCUUCCGGCGUUCUAUACGGCGCUUCCGGCGCUCCGUCCCGCGCUUCCGCCGUCCCGCGCCGCGCUUCCGUCCCCCCGCCGCUCCUCCACGCUUCCGUCGCUCCCCCACCCCUCCGUUCCGCCGCCCCGCCCCACGCUUCCGCUCCCGCGGCCCACACUUCCGGCGCCCGGCGCCCCAAGAUGGCGGCCGCCAGGAGGUAGAGCGGCAGGAAGAGGCACGGGGCGGCCAGCAGCACGGCGGCGGGCAGCAGCACGGCGGCGCCGUGGGGCAGAGCGGCGGGGGACGCGCGGGGCCGGAGGGCGGCCAGGACCCACAG